rnacentral:rRNA from 1 species
AAUCAACGCUGGCGGCGUGCCUAACACAUGCAAGUCGAACGCGAAAGCCCGCAAGGGUAAGUAGAGUGGCGCACGGGUGAGUAACACGUGGACAACCUGCCUUCGAGUGGGGAAUAACCUUCCGAAAGGGGGCGUAUACCGCAUAAAACCUACGGAACACAAGUUCUGGGGUUGGAAAAGAAGCAAUUUGUCUCGAAGGAGGGGUCCGGCGCCUGAUUAGCUAGUUGGUGAGGUAACGGCUCACCAAGGCUUCGAUCAGUAGCCGUCCUGAGAGGGA